rnacentral:tRNA from 2 species
GCCCGCAUAGCUCAGUUGGAUAGAGCAACUGCCUUCUAAGCAGUGGGUCGCAAGUUCGAAUCUUGCUGUGGGUA